rnacentral:lncRNA from 1 species
CACCUAUUUGGGUUUAUUCUGCUCUGCGGGCUCGGAUAAUCAGAAGUAUAAUGGUUAUAACACUUCUGCAAACAAUAAAACAUACAUCGUAUAUUCGAGUACUGGGUUAGUUCUUGAUCGGAAGCCUCAAGGCCUACACCUAAGGCCCCACAAAGGCACCUGUCAUAACUAACACGGCCUCUCGGGUAUAUGUACAACUAAAACUCAACAUCCAUUUUACAUCUGCCAUGCUAAAGAUGGCAAUGGCACGCCUGAGCACUUAAAAGUUAAUCUUGAUUGUGAGCCUCAAGGCUUAUACCUAAGGCCCCACAAAGGCACAUUUCAAAGUUAACUCUGUUCUUCUAUUUCAGCCUUGCCCGACAAGCUUUGCCCGACAAGCCAGCCAGUAAAGCAGAAGCCCGACAAAAAGCAUCAACCGGCGCCAACCUCUCGGGGAGCUGUGUGCUCGUCGGCUAGAAGACAUCCCCGAAGGAAAUUCUAGCCACGAACAUAGUUUUGGCACGCCCGGUGGGAUACAUUUGAUCAAAAGAAAUAUGUCAAAAUCACCAGAAGAUUUGCAAACUGCUUUGUUGCAAAUGCUACAAAGACUGGAGAACGCCUCCGCAGGUUUCAGGCGGGAAGCCGACCUGGUUAUAAAACCAACUAUUCCUAUAUCUUUACCUCAACCUGGGGAAAAAGAUGAUAGGGAAAAAGAGAGAUUUAAAACCAACCAGCCAGAGGAAGCAGUGAUGGAUAAACCUACGGAUCCCUUCUCAGAUGCCCCUAUAAAUAUGAUCAGUAUGGCCUGGGCUGAGAAGGGGAAAGAAAAGGUCACAAGGGAAGAAGAAAGAAGAUUGGUUGACAAACCCACAAAAGGGGUGGUCAACUUGCCCGAAUAUCCAAGAGCAGCCUUAAUCAAAGGGAUGGUUCUGUGCAGUAAAUGCCAAUGCGAGUGUGAGCUCGAAAUACCACCCGCAUGAGCCCUCAGGGAUCAUGAUCAUGUCCCAAAAUUGGUAUUAGUGAGGGAAGCAGAAGAAAGAAGAAAAUAGAUGAGGGGGCAAAGAGUUGCCCGAAAUAAGUUCAGACAAGAACCAGAAGCAAAACAAGCAAAAGACAAAAUACAUGUUCAUUCUGCUAAAAGAAGGAUUACAAAUAAUUCUAGUCUAAUAAUCUUACAUCUUUACUCAGGGUGAUUAUUCGAGAAUGAUAUGUCUGCAUGAUGGCAAAAAUCCUACUAGGUUCGGCCAAAACAGUAUGGCUAUUUGCAAGUUGAGACCUGGUAUGCUCUAAUUCUGAGUCUGACUUCUUCAUUUCUUCGAUUUGGUUUUCGAGGGUGCCAAGAAGAGUUGCUUGCUCAGCUUUAAGAACAACCAGUUGUUCCUUUAGCUUUUGGAUUUCAGAAGUCACCACUCCGAUCCUUUCUUUUGUCAACAAACCAUUAUCCAUCAACCUUUCAACCUGAGCAGAAGUACUUGAUUCUUUCUCCUGGAAACAUCUUACACGAUUGGCUUGUCUUUCAGCUCUCUUAUGUUGAUCCCGGAGAGCCCUCAGGUUCUCGAAGAAAGAGAGAAAUGAAUCAUGUUGAGUUUUGGAUAGCUGACCGGCUUUGAACAGCUCCAUUGUAACCUUCUCUAUAUCAUGAAGAGCCUUGAGGCUGAACGAAGCUGAGAAGUCCUUCCUAGCCCAUUCUUGGAAAGCUUGUUACUGCUCUCGAAGACCAGAAGAUCCAGCAGAAUGCUUUGAAGAUUUCAGCCUUGUCUCAAGUUGCCUGAAUUCUUCAAAAAGUUCGGGCAACUUAGCAGUUUUUGAAAAUGAAGAAGCAGGAGGAGGAUUUCACACUCCAGUUUCCUCUAAUGAAGUAGUACCUACUGAUGGGGUAGUUUCUGUCUUUCUGGUCUUCUCAAUUCCAGGAUGGGAAAUCCCGGCACUUCCAAAAGUUGAAUGAGGCCGAGGAAGCUUUGAUUUACGAACAAGCAAGGAGGAGAGGCUUCUUCCAGAACUUGUUGCAAAGACCAAAGAAGACCAGAUUAAGACAAAAAUACAGUUUGAAGCAAAAGGAAGCUUUGGGAAGAAGAAAUAUACCUGACUGAGCCUUGGGGCUUCACAAGGAAGAGUACCUAUUCCUGGUUGAGGGGAAGACUCUCUACCAUUAACAGGGGAAGAAAAAGCUGCGCCUAAACCUUCGCCAAUGCCCUAGAAGUAUCCAGGGAUAGCAACAAUUGUUAGUAAGCAGAUUAUAAGAGGAAAACAGGAAGAAAAUACCUCCAUACCUAAGUUUUUCCCCGAGAAGAAGGAGGUUCAUCGAUGGAAACCGUCGGGCAAGCAAACACCUGCAAAAUCGUUACCCUUGAGGUCACAGGAAUCUCAGGGACUAUGGGUUCAUCACAUAUUGCCCUUGGCGGUUGGGGUGGUUUGUAUAAUGGAGAAGGCUGCAAGAAAUAUAAAUAAAAGUUAAAAUGGAAGCAAUGCACAGAAAGUCAAUAUAAGGAUAGUUACUCACCAAAUUAUUGUCCUCAUCCACAAAGUGCAACAUAAUUCCUGUGGAUGGAUCAAAUUGCGAAGAUGAAGUUGCUUCUAGGGCAGAAGGAGAAAUCAAAGACUUUAAAUGAGAACCUUGACUAGGCAAGGGGGCAGAUACCCCGACCUGGAUGAAGAAGAAGAGAAAGGUUCAGGCAUUAGCUCCAGAGACUAUAAAGUUACCCAAGGUUCGAGAAAGAAGGGAAUGCACCUCUGAAGGAUUAAUCCGGGGAGAAGAGAGGCUUGUUUCUUGGGCAAGUGGCGAAGAGACCUCGGGCGGACAGAGCUUUUCCUCUCUUGCAGCCUGACUCAAGUAAUCAUGCUCAGGGUUUUGUGGAAGCAGGAAAGAUUAUGCAGACAUAAACAUAAGCUAUACCUUAAGUUGUUUGAGGGUGAUAUUUCGCAAUUCUUCAGCCUUUUUGUGCAUUUUAGCUCCUAAUGAUUCAUUCUUAGAAGCAACAGUUGGUUUCUUAGAUAUUUGAGGUCCUGUUUUCAAGGAAAACAAGGGUAACUAGAUAAAGAGGAAGGGUGGCAAUCUGAUAAAGAAGAACAAAAACUCACUUGAAGACUUUUGCUUCUUUCUGCCUGCCUCAGAAACUGGAGCGGAUGAGGCUGAAGAUUUGUGAGUUUGGACGGUUCUUGUUCUCUUACUCUUUCUAGUAGGAAUUGGUCGUUUAGUCUUGGGUGGGGAUGCAGGAUCAGACUCUGAGGUCUCGAUCACAACCGCUUUCCUUUGCUUAGAUACUUGGGUGAUGACUUCAGGCGCUCCUUCUUCAGCCCUUGAAUCUUCUGAAACAUCCCCACUUUCUCCAGUUUCUCGUCUUUCAGCCUCUACCGCAGCUCCAUGAAGAACUGCUGCAUCAACUGAGUCAUCAUUGAACGGUACCGAUUCAACAUCCACUUGGGCUGCAAGAUCAAGCAAGGUAAAAUUUAAAGGGCUUCAGAAGGGAUAUAGAAUCAAGAUAAGAAGAAGAAAUACCUAUCAGAAGUAACCGAUUCUUCUCUUGGAUCAUCUCCUUUCAAUUUUCAAGUUCGCCCGAAUUGGGGUAUGAUUUGAGAGAAAGUUGACUGAAAAGGCGAUCGUGAGUUUCUCUCAAGUCUGCUCCAUAUUUCCUGGUCCAUUUGUUUUCCCACCAAGAAGAGAAGAGUGAAGUGCAUUCAAAAUUAAGAAUGAUGGACUUUCGGGCAGCCUGACUCAUGACUUCAAGACUACGUCGGGCAGCUUGAAAGGUCGCAUCGGAAGGAGAUGAUAAACGAAAGGAAGUGCCACAAUGAACAGAGUCGAAGAAUAAGACUGGAAUGGCUUGCCUAAAGCCUAAUUGCCUGCUGCAAAAGUUAAGGUUAUACACCUUCAACCCUCGAUCAUAUCGAUUGCCCUAAACUCCCUAGGCCAUGUCUCUCGGUUGAAUACAACUAAUAAUUUUUUCCCUACAAAAGGAGGUGGCAUCUUCCCCAAGAGCAUCUUGAAAGCUUGGUCAGAAAACCAAGGAUAUCUCCUCAAGACUGACGCGCCCCAUUCCAAGUCUGAUCGAGUCCUACAAACUUUGAAGAAGUGAAAGCAGGCAAAGGUGGAGUGAUCGGUAGGAGCAGCUUCAGCUAGGAUUUGGGCAGGGGCCACACCUUCUGGGAAUUCUAAGUUAGCAGCCCGAAACUUUGGGAAGUACCAUUGAAGCCAUGUUUGUAUCAUCCAUAUGGGUCUAUUCAGGUUAGUCUCGAAUGGCUCGCCUUGAGUCAUUUCGAAAAGAAGAUGGUAAAGAUGAGAAAGAAGGAAUGGACCUGUAGCUACAUCAUCAAAGUUAUGAAGAGUUUCCACCAAGGGGAUCCAUUCAACCUUCACUCAUUUGGACUUAUUGGGGAAGACAUGUUUAUUGAGCCAGUAUAAGAGGAAAUACAUGUGCUCUUGAUCUUUAUCAACAUGAGAAGAAUCUGCUCCAAAAUUCUCCUUUACAAAAGGGAUGAAUCCCUUGAAGGAGGUUUCGUAACUCUUGAAGGUUGCAACAUUAUAUUCUAAGGAAAGGAAAUAGGCGGAUGAACCUGAGCUUUCAGCAAUUAAGGGGGGAGCCCAGUCUUGAGUAACAUCCACUAUCCUGCCCGAUUACCUUAGCCCGAAGACCUGGGCCAUAUCAAGAACAGUCGGAGACAUGGGACCCAUACGGAAGUCAAAAGUGUUUGUGCCCGAAUUCCAUAAAAGAAGAGAAGAAGCAAGCAGUUCGGGCUUGGGAAUAAUGGUAGUUUUCGAAAGCAUUAUCAAUUCAUAAAUACCGUUAUUCAUCCAUUUCUUCUUAAAAGUUGGCUCUAGUUCAUCAACCCAUUGAGCCCAAGCCAGAUCGUUCAUCAAAGGAAAGCCUUGGCGGUAUGACGACCACUUGGAUGAAGAAAUGCCCGACUUAGCCAAAAAGGGAUUUGGGGAAAACCAGUUAUCCUUGGGCAUAUUGUCCUUUAUCACUGCAGGGACCCGGGAAAUCCAUGCGGGACCCAACGAUUGUACCCCAUGCACUUCAAAGAAAAGCUCAUAAAACAAACCUGCCCGAGGGCGAUGCAGUCCGUUGAGUAAACGACGCAGAGUGGCGAUGCCUUCGCCAGAUUCAUAAGAUAGUUAGAUUUGGCUGGAUCCUGAAGCCAUUUGAUGAAGUUUGGAAGAGGAACGGUAAGGAAGACGACAAGGGUAGAAGAUGUCGGGCAAAGAGCAGCAGAGAGUUUAAAAGAUUUAGAAAAGAAAAACGUUUGGGAAGUUAGGAAAUUUUCAAUCGCAGAGGAAUUUCGUGCUAAGAAUGCAGAGGAUUCGUGAGUUAGUAGAAUGACCGCAGGAAAGUGAUGAUUAUCUUUGAAAAGUGUGCAAAUCCCGAGAGAGAGAGAGAGAGACGUGGGUAUUAAACGAGAGCUAUUCAAUCAAUAUUGGCGCCUGGAAUUCCAGUCUGAAUAUUGAUUAAAGGGGGCACUGCUUGGGUUAAAACUUGAACUUUGGGUUCAAGCAGGAGUUGGCCCAAAAGGAGGUUUGAAAAAGGAAAAGCCCGAAGCCCAGCCAAAGCCCAGAAGGCAGAAAAGGCCUUUCCUGACUAGGUGCAUAUCAUUUGUACCACUUGCUUACCUGCCUAGAGACCAAGUGGUAUAGACUAGCCAGCUAAUCAGCCCAAAAGCACUUUACAGUGGCAGUACAAGUAAAUAGCUGAUGAGUCAUUACCCUUCAAGCUGCAUUCAAGCAAGAUUACUGCUACAGGAGGCUAAACCGAUGUGUCUAUAAAAGAAGAAAGAGAAAUAAGAGUUAAGGACACUCAAUCAAACAAACAAAUACAAGCACAAGCUCUGCUCAAAAGCCAGAUUUGCUUUCAAACGAAGUUGUAGUCAGCCCAAGCCUUCAUCCAUUUCGGGAUAAACCCUCAUCAAAAGCCUUUGUAAUAGCUCUGCUACCUUGUCCUAAGCUUGCUGUAGUAUCGAUUUCUUUCUGCAAACUCAACUCCCUACCUCAUUUUCUAAAGCUCUCAAACCCCUUGAUAAACCACAAAGAUAGGAAGUUGCAAGACGAAUCAGCCUUGCCCGACAAGGUUAAACCUUGCCCGACCCUCUUUGUUUUUGUCUUUUCAUUCAUUAGCCUAGCAAUAUGUUAUAUACUUCCAGUUGUAUUCAAGUUAUUUCUAGUAAAAUGAUGAUUAAAAGACUCUCUUAGUUCUUGAAUCCAAUUUGAAUAUGUCUUCACAGUUCAAACCAGAUCUAAGUUCUAAGUUUUCGGGCAUGUAAGAUUGAUCAUUCAAAAGUCCUUGGCCUUAAGGCAUAAAAAAGAACCUUAUGUGGACUUAACACAUCCACGACAAGCUUUGAUAACAAGAAGUCUGAAAUUACUUGGGGCGCAAGUGAUCGAUCUAUCUCUUAGUUUUAUUUCUAUUAUAUUAUGAUUAUAGUAGAACGUUUGAGUAUAGAAGGAAUUCUGAUGGGAAGCCUGAAGGCCUAUAUCUAAGGUCCUACAAAGGCACCUAUUUGGGUUCAUUCUGCUUUGCGGGCUCGGAUAAUCAGAAGUAUAAUGGUUAUAACACUUCUGCAAACAAUAAAACAGACAUCGUAUAUUCGAGUACUAGGUUAGUUCUUGAUCGGAAGCCUCAAGGCCUACACCUAAGGCCCCACAAAGGCACCUGUCAUAACUAACACGGCCUCUCGGGUAUAUGUACAACUAAAACUCAACAUCCAUUUUACAUCUGCCAUGCUAAAGAUGGCAGUGGCACGCCUGAGCACUUAAAAGUUAAUCUUGAUUGUGAGCCUCAAGGCCUAUACCUAAGGCCCCACAAAGGCACAUUUCAAAGUUAACUCUGUCCUUCUCUUUCAGCCUUGC